GAUGAACGCUGGCGGCGCGCCUAACCAUGCAGUCGAACGGUUAAGGCAUUUUCGGAUGUGUAUAAAGUGACGAACGGCUGAGUAACACGUGGGCACCUGCCCUUUGCACUGGGAUAGCCUCGGGAAACCGAGGUUAAUACCGGAUACUCCAUAUUUGUCGCAUGGCGAAUAUGGGAAAGCUCCGGCGGCAAAGGAUGGGCCCGCGGCCUGUUAGCUAGUUGGUGGGGUAGUGGCCUACCAAGGCAAUGAUGGGUAGCCGGGUUGAGAGACCGACCGGCCAGAUUGGGACUGAGACACGGCCCAGACUCCUACGGGAGGCAGCAGUGGGGAAUCUUGCACAAUGGGCGAAAGCCUGAUGCAGCGACGCCGCGUGCGGGAUGAAGGCYUUCGGGUUGUAAACCGCUUUCAGCAGGGACGAGGCCGCAAGGUGACGGUACCUGCAGAAGAAGCCCCGGCUAACUACGUGCCAGCAGCCGCGGUAAUACGUAGGGGGCAAGCGUUAUCCGGAUUCAUUGGGCGUAAAGCGCGCGUAGGCGGUCUGUUAGGUCAGGAGUUAAAUCUGGGGGCUCAACCCCUAUCCGCUCCUGAUACCGGCAGGCUUGAGUCUGGUAGGGGAAGAUGGAAUUCCAAGUGUAGCGGUGAAAUGCGCAGAUAUUUGGAAGAACACCGGUGGCGAAGGCGGUCUUCUGGGCCAUGACUGACGCUGAGGCGCGAAAGCUAGGGGAGCGAACAGGAUUAGAUACCCUGGUAGUCCUAGCUGUAAACGAUGGACACUAGGUGUGGGGAGAUUAUACUUUCCGUGCCGCAGCUAACGCAUUAAGUGUCCCGCCUGGGGAGUACGGUCGCAAGACUA
rnacentral:rRNA from 2 species